rnacentral:lncRNA from 1 species
ACACUCAGGGAGUACACCAUGUGAAGACUGGACUUAAACAGCUACACCACCAGAAGCCGAGAGAGAGGCUGGAACAUAGCCUUCCCUUUGGAGCCCUAGCAGAUGCUAAUCCAGCGUGCGUCCUGACAGAGGUUGAAGGGGGCUCCUCAAGUCCCAGGUCCAGCUUGGUGUGGUUCAGCUACUCGAGAGACAUCUGCUGCUAAUGGAUGAGCAGUCAACCUGGACGCAGGAAAUCAUUUUUUAUUUGGAAUAACUGGGAGAUGAAACAGGAAGCUCUAUGACACACUUGAUCGAAUAUGACAGACACCGAAAAUCACGACUCAGCCCCCUCCAGCACCUCUACCUGUUGCCCGCCGAUCACAGCCGGAAUGCAGCUGAAAGAUUCCCUGGGGCCUGGUUCCAACCGCCCACUGUGGACUCUGAGGCCUCUGCAUUUGCGGGUGGUCUGCCUGUGAUAUUUUGGUCAUGGGCUGGUCUGGUCGGUUUCCCAUUUGUCUGGCCAGUCUCUAUGUGUCUUAAUCCCUUGUCCUUCAUUAAAAGCAAAAC